UAGAGAAAAGUCGAGUUGAAGUUAGAAGUAGAUCUCCUGAGUGGAAAUUACAGGUCUACGGUUGAUCUUCACUAGAAAAAACAAUGAAGACAUCCAUUGUAAUUUCAUUCGUGUUCUUGUGGCUGCAGGUGGACUGGAUGAGCCGAGGAGAGAACGUGGAGCAGCGGCCUUCUACCCUGAGUGUCCAGGAGGGAGGCAGCUCCAUUAUCAACUGUACCUAUUCAGACAGUUCAUCAGACUAUUUCCCAUGGUAUAAACAAGAACCUGGGCAAGGACCCAAGUUCAUCAUAGACAUUCGCUCCAAUGCAGAGAUAAAGAAAAAUAAAAAUCUCACUGUUUGGUUGGAUAAGAAGGCCAAGCAUGUCUCCCUGCACAUCGCAGCCACCCAGCUCGGGGACUCAGCUGUCUACUUCUGCGCAGCGAGUGCACAUUGCUCCCCAGGCACCUGCGUCCUGUACCCAAACCUGUGACUGGGGCAGAGCCUCAACUCCUUUGCUUCUUCAAAUUAAGAUCCCUUUGUGGAAUGUGAUAUCACAGAUGACAGCCUAAUCUGCAGUGCCACAAAUAUUUGUCCCUAAGAAGUAUGCUAUGAUAAGCAAUGGGUCCUUAUUGUUUGUCGCAUUGUCCAGCAAUACCAUGAAGGCACUGGGUUAUUUUUACAUCCACACUUAAAUAAUAGUUAACCAUAGUUACCGCAUCUAUAAUCAGCUAU